UGCCUACGGGAGGCAGCAGUGGGGAAUAUUGCACAAUGGGGGAAACCCUGAUGCAGCAACGCCGCGUGAGUGAAGAAGUAUUUCGAUAUGUAAAGCUCUAUCAGCAGGGAAGAAGAUGACGGUACCUGAUUAAGAAGCCCCGGCUAACUACGUGCCAGCAGCCGCGGUAAUACGUAGGGGGCAAGCGUUAUCCGGAUUUAUUGGGUUUAAAGGGUGCGCAGGCGGUCUGUUAAGUCAGCGGUCAAAGCCCGGGGCUCAACCCCGGCCCGCCGUUGAAACUGGCAGUCUCGAGUUGGAGAGAAGUA
rnacentral:rRNA from 1 species